CGGCCGCGGUAUCCUAACCGUGCAAAGGUAGCGUAAUCACUUGUCUCUUAAAUAGAGACUUGUAUGAACGGCUAAAUGAAGAUAACACUGUCUCCUUUAAUUAACCAGUGAAACUGAUCUCCAAGUACAAAAGCUUGGAUAAAAACACAAGACGAGAAGACCCUGUGGAGCUUAAAACAGCCCUAUUAUAGCUAUGUUUUAAGUUGGGGCGACUUCGGAGAAAACCAAAACCUCCGAGCACAGGGCCAGCCCCCGGCCAACAAGCCAACGACACCAAACUGACCCAGUCUAACUGAAUAACGGACCAAGUUACCCCAGGGAUAACAGCGCCAUCUUCUUCAAGAGUUCCCAUCGACAAGAAGGUUUACGACCUCGAUGUUGGAUCAGGACACCCAAAUGGUGCAGCAGCUAUUAAAGGUUCG
rnacentral:rRNA from 1 species